UGUGCUGUAGCUCAGUGGUAGAAUGCCUGCCUAGCAUGUGUGAGGCACUGAGUUCAAUCCUCAGCACCACAU
rnacentral:tRNA from 1 species